rnacentral:lncRNA from 1 species
GAAGCAAAAACUCGGCGCCUCGACUUGUUUAAUUUCUUCCUCAACUCUCAACUUUCUGAUUUUGAUGGCUUCUCUGACUUUGCCAUCCUUUUAUUCAACUUCCCUCUCUUCUUCUUCCUCUACUUGUCUCUUCUCUGCUUCUUGCUCCUCUCUCAGACACUCAGCCUUCGUUCCCAAACCAACCCGCCUUCCCAGCUACGUAGUGAGUACAAAUAAACUAAUUUGGUUAUUGAUCUUUUAGAUGGAGGAGAUUUAAUGAAAUCAAUCUUUUUUCUCAUAGUUUCUUGUUAGGUUAUUGUUUAUAAGUUAUGACAAAUUAUUAGGAUGUG